rnacentral:rRNA from 1 species
CAAUAAGCGGAGGAAAAGAAACCAACAGGGAUUGCCCCAGUAACGGCGAGUGAAGCGGCAAAAGCUCAAAUUUGAAAUCUGGCUCCCUAUGGGGGUCCGAGUUGUAAUUUGCAGAGGAUGCUUCGGGUGCGGCCGCGGCGCAAGUCCCUUGGAACAGGGCGUCGCAGAGGGUGAGAAUCCCGUCUCGAGUCGCUGGCCCGCGCCCGUGUGAAGCUCCUUCGACGAGUCGAGUUGUUUGGGAAUGCAGCUCUAAGCGGGUGGUAAAUUUCAUCUAAAGCUAAAUACUGGCCGGAGACCGAUAGCGCACAAGUAGAGUGAUCGAAAGGUUAAAAGCACCUUGAAAAGGGAGUUAAAUAGCACGUGAAAUUGUUGAAAGGGAAGCGCUUGCGACCAGACUCGGGGGCAGGGGUUCAGCGGCCAUCCGUGGCCGUGUACUCCCCUGUCUCCCGGGCCAGCAUCGGUUCCCGCGGCCGGUCAAAGGCCCCCGGAAUGUGUCGUCUCUCGGGACGUCUUAUAGCCGGGGGUGCAAUGCGGCCAGCGGGGACCGAGGAACGCGCUUCGGCACGGAUGCUGGCGUAAUGGUCGUAAGCGGCCCGUCUUGAAACAC